rnacentral:rRNA from 1 species
AGUGAACGCUGGCGGCGUGCUUAACACAUGCAAGUCGAACGAGAACGGAUUAUAGCUUGCUAUAAUUGUCAGCUAAGUGGCGCACGGGUGAGUAAUGUAUAGGUAAUAUGCCUCUUACUAAGGGAUAACAAAUGGAAACGUUUGCUAAUACCUUAUACUCCUUAUUAACAGAAGUUAAUAAGGGAAAGAUUUAUUGGUAAGAGAUUAGCCUGUAUUGUAUCAGUUAGUUGGUGGGUUAAUGGCUUAACAAGACUAUGACACAUAACUGGUUUGAGAGGAUGAUCAGUCACACUGGAACCGAGACACGGUCCAGACUCCUACGGGAGGCAGCAGUGGGGAAUAUUGCACAAUGGACGAAAGUCUGAUGCAGCAACGCCGCGUGGAGGAUGACACAUUUCGGUGCGUAAACUCCUUUUAUAUGAGAAGAUAAUGACGGUAUUAUAUGGAUAAGCACCGGCUAACUCCGUGCCAGCAGCCGCGGUAA